CCCGGGAUUUGAUCCAUUUCCCACACUUACUGAAUUUAGUAUCUGUUUCUUCAUCUUUUUGAAUUGAGCAAUAUAGUGGACAUUUGUCUUUUUUUCUUCUUUUUUACUGUCUAACAUCUAUCUUCUCUCUCCUAUCUUGGGGUCAUCUUUGUGGCAGGAAGUGCCCAGAUCUCCUUUCCCUUGAGAACCAGAGACCUGACACAUGACCUAGGCUCAGCCAACCUACUGCCCUUGUGAAAGGCUUUGAAUCUUUGAAUCAAAGAACUCAAAUGCAAAAGUUUGGUUACAAUUUAUUCACAGUGACAUUGUCCUGGUGCAGAAUGUACCUAGUGCUUGGCCUGUGGACACUCACCCCUUUGUUCCUUAUCAUUUCCAAAACUUGGCUUUAGGUCUCCAUCAAUUGUGAACCUCCACUGUCAUCCUGCAAUACAUUCCUGCUCUUCUAAGGGAGCUGGGGUAAAUUUCUGUUGCUCAGAGGCAAAUGGCUGACGGAUGCACCUACUGCAGUAGGUAGAACAAUGGCUACCCGAAGAUAUCAAGUCCUGACCCCUGGAACUGUUGUUUACAAUGGUGUCAGAUGUAAUGGUGGAAAAAGACUACAGGGUGUUGUCGUUUCACUGCAAAAUGAUCUCGGAGAAGCUCUUUGUCUGCAGCACACAGAAUUCUAUGAAGGUGAGCUCUUGCCCCGGCAUGAAAUGCUAAUUCCCAAUUAAAAUUCAUCCAUAAGUAAUAAUGCAUCCCUUUCUAAGUAACUUCAGUCAGCUUUCAAAGGAGUAGUUUCACAGUAUCUAGUUUCACCAAAGUAACGAUAAUCAAAAAUAGUAGGGAAAUCAGCUGUUUUUCUCCAUAUGGGAUGUCUAAACAGGAGCGUAUGUUGGUGUUUGAUAUUCAAUCAGCCUUCUGCAAUAUGGCAACAAAUUCAAGCUCUAGUGGUCCAGAGAAAAUAAGAUUUUUUUGGUAAUUGUUUACAGAAGUAGAGUCGUAACAGUUAAAAGGUCCUUUGAAAUAGUUCUCUUCUAACUUUGUGCUUUGGAGCUUGGAGAACUAACACAGAGUUGCAGAAAAAAGUGCCAGAUUAAAUUUAUGCUAGCAAGUUCAGUUAUUAUUUUAUCUGUUUUAUGAUACUUUUUAAAUCACUUUUUAAUGAUACCUUAAUUUUAAAACACUUUGCAGUUUUAAUGGUUUUGAUAUGUAACAUUUGUUUCAGGUAGGAAGAAGAGACGUUAUCUCUAUUUUUCCAACGUGAAAAUAGAAGCUGAGAAGAGUUACGUCACUUUCUCAAUGUCAGUACAGCUACUAAGGGGCAAAUUCUGACCUGGAAUGCACAUCUUCUGAUUUUAUUUUUAUUUUUACUAGAUUAUCAGUUUAUUAGAAAAGGAUUUAACUCAGAAACAGCCAAAUGGAAGAGAUGCGUAGGGCAAGGUAUGGGGAAAGGGUGUACUGCAUCCAUGCCCUCUCUGAACUCACCACGGUCCCCAAAUCUCCAUGUGUUCACCAACCUGGAAGCCCUCAGAAGCCCGCACUUUCGGGUUUUUAUGGAGGCUUCAUUACUUACGUCUGAUUAAUUAAAUCAUUGCCUGUUGGUGAUUGAUUCAGCCUCCAGCCCCUAUCCCAACCCUGGAGGUCAGAGAGCAGGACUGAAAGUCUAACCCUUCAAUCACAUCCUCUAAUUUGGAUUCAGUAUUUUCUCCCCAUUAUACCACGGAACGCCUCAUUACUGCUGACUCAUUAAUCACUACCUUAUGAAAUGUUCAUUGACUGUGUCUUCAUCAGUUCUUCUUUUACAUGGAAAACAAAUAAUAAAACAUAUUUUAAUAAGGUAUUUGGAAAUGUU
rnacentral:lncRNA from 1 species